rnacentral:misc_RNA from 1 species
GAUGAAGAACGUAGCGAAAUGCGAUAAGUAGUGUGAAUUGCAGAAUUCAGUGAAUCAUCGAAUCUUUGAACGCACAUUGCGCCCGCCAGUAUUUUGGCGGGCAUGCCUGUUCGAGCGUCAUUACAACCCUCAGGCCCCCGGGCCUGGCGUUGGGGAUCGGCGGAGCCCCCCGUGGGCACACGCCGUCCCCCAAAUACAGUGGCGGUCCCGCCGCAGCUUCCAUCGCGUAGUAGCUAACACCUCGCGACUGGAGAGCGGCGCGGCCACGCCGUAAAACACCCAACUCUUCUGAAGUUGACCUCGAAUCAGGUAGGAAUACCCGCUGAACUUAAGCAUAUCAAUAAGCGGAGGA